rnacentral:rRNA from 1 species
GAGCGUCAUUUCUCUCUCAAACCGCGAGGUUUGGUAUUGAGUGAUACUCUUAGUCGGACUAGGCGUUUGCUUGAAAUGCAAUGGCAAGAGUGGCGCUGGAUAGUGCCUUCUGAUUAUUCAAUGUAUUAGGUUUAUCCAACUCGUUGAACGGUCGGGGGUGAGUUUCUGGACGCUGUGGCUCGGCCUUACAACAACAAACAAGUUUGACCUCAAAUCAGGUAAGAUUACCCGCUGAACUUAAGCAUAUCAAUAAGCGGAGGAAAAGAAACCAACAGGGAUUGCCUUAGUAGCGGCGAGUGAAGCGGCAAUAGCUCAAAUUUGAAAUCUGGCGUCUUCGGCGUCCGAGUUGUAAUUUGAAGAAGGUAUCUUUGGUUUUGGCUCUUGUCUAUGUUUCUUGGAACAGGACGUCACAGAGGGUGAGAAUCCCGUGCGAUAAGAUGCCCAAUUCCAUGUAAAGUUCCUUCGACGAGUCGAGUUGUUUGGGAAUGCAGCUCUAAGUGGGUGGUAAAUUCCAUCUAAAGCUAAAUAUUGGCGAGAGACCGAUAGCGAACAAGUACUGUGAAGGAAAGAUGAAAAGAACUUUGAAAAGAGAGUGAAAAA